UGUGAGAGGUUGGGGGUGUCCACGUAGGAGGGGAAGCCACUGACGACCUUUGCUCCUGCAGACAGGAUUCCGAAGUCCAGGGACUACGUGACGUAUCUCUGGGUGAAAGAUGAUGAGCUACAGGUUAAUGAAGAUGUUUAUCAGGUGUUUCUGAACGGUGAGGACGUCCCGCAGGACGCAGGGGAGUACAUACUGUGCUACUACAGCAGCAACAUGGACUGUGUCGUCGGGGUUAGCAGCCCAUUCCAGAUCCUGCCGGAAUGUGCCGGGAGCCCUUUGGAGACGUGUGACGCGCAGGCUCACGGUGAUUCGGACUCGUGCUGAGUAGUGCUGGGACACCCACCGUGAGAGGAGAGGAGAGGGAGGGAUCCGGACCGCCGUGUCAGCUGCUCUCGGCCUCUGGUCUUGCUGACCCCUCCAGCAAGGCAGCCUGCAACUCUUCCCCUUACUCUCGAGAUCCGAUCGGGGCCCAUCCUGUGUGCGGGGGCAAGGGGGUCAAUCCUGUUUUCAUUAGCUGGGAUUGUUGGCUGCUAAGUACACCACUCCACCCCACCCCGUACUACUGGCUUGUUUGUUAAUAUUCUUACACGCAUUGCUGCCCAGCAGUGGGGAUGUUCAUGUGUUCUACACGUUUAUCAAGCUCUAGGCGCUCCCCACCCAAUCUUCCAUUCUCCUUGGUCAAGGUAGCUACGUUUGCCUCGCAUGGGACCCCUGCUCCUUGCUUCAGACAGACAGCACCUCAUCCUCUCGGUCUCUCCCCUCCCAGCACUCGGUCCCUCACCUUCUCUGCAAGGCAGCUCCCCGGACAGCUGACCAUCUCUGGACCCACUCUCUCACCUCCCUGGGAGAGACAGACCAAAGGAGACCACUGUCCCCUCCUUCACCCUCUGAUUAUCGGGGCACAUGCCCUCUGCCUGACCCCUCCCUCAAUCCCACGGGAUACCCUGACGGGGGGAUUAACGCGUUGAGAAUACGAAGAGUGUAGCUGUCACUGCCGUCUCGGGAUGGGAGGGACAGCGAUUGUAUCUAUAACCAUCCUUGGGCAACUUCCCUCCGUGCUUCCGAACUGCUUCAUGUGGAGUGACCCUGACUUGUGGAAAUCCUUGUUCAGCACCUGUUCCUUCAGUCUUCGCUCCAGGGAAGGAUAUUGGAUGAUGACAGAAACGGUGAGGUGGCGAGAAACUUGUGGAAUUGAGGGAGGUGCAGUUGCUGGGGGGAGUAGCAGUCACCAGUCUUGGAGAGAUGGGUUGCUCUGCACUCUGAGAGGAGACCACUCAGCCCAUCACACCUGCCAUCCCUUUUGGGUGACCGAUUAAAGCUCUAUGCACUUUUGAACUUCAGUUCUUCUCUGAACCAAUCGCAGCUCAAGGCUGAGUUGAUCCUAAUUUUUUGAGGAUUCCCAUGCUGCAGGAUCCCUGGAUCAUCCAGGUCUCCGGGGUUUUUCCAGUCACAGGUCACAUUCCCGGCAUCAGUAUUCCCAGCACGGAACAAACAGAACCUAUUCCCUGAAUCCGGGCCAAAUCCAGUUGAUGCUGGAAGUCCUGGGAUCUGGCAUGAACCCAGAUUGUUCCAGGCUCGGAGAGAUCCCAGUUCCCAGGAUCUGUAGUCGGGACGUUUAACCCAUUUUAGUGAAGGUCAGACACAACAGAUUUUAAGUGUUUUAAUUCAGGGACAUUUGCUUGACAAUUUGUAGAUAUUUUUAAACAGCAGCAGAUUGACUCAGUGUUAUCAGCUUUAAAUAAAAAACAUGAAA